rnacentral:rRNA from 1 species
CCAAUAGCGUAUAUUAAAGUUGUUGCAGUUAAAAAGCUCGUAGUUGAAUUUCGGGGUUAGUAGAUUGGUCAUGCCACUGGUAUGUACUGGUCUUACUGGCUCCUCCUUCCUGAUGAACCGUAAUGCCAUUAAUUUGGUGUUGCGGGGAGACUGGACUGUUACUUUGAAAAAAUUAGAGUGUUUAAAGCAGGCUAACGCUUGAAUACAUUAGCAUGGUAUAAUGAAAUAGGACGUUCGAUCCUAUUUUGUUGGUUUCUAGGAUUGACGUAAUGAUUAAUAGGGAUAGUUGGGGGCAUUAGUAUUCAAUUGUCAGAGGUGAAAUUCUUGGAUUUAUUGAAGACUAACUACUGCGAAAGCAUUUGCCAAGGAUGUUUUCAUUAAUCAAGAACGAAAGUUAGGGGAUCGAAGACGAUCAGAUACCGUCGUAGUCUUAACCAUAAACUAUGCCGACUAGGGAUCGGAUGAUGUUAAUUUUUUAAUGACUCAUUCGGCGCCUUACG